rnacentral:lncRNA from 1 species
AUGGGCAAAGGAGAUCCUAAGAAGCCGAGAGGCAAAAUGUCCUCAUAUGCAUUCUUUGUGCAAACUUGCCGGGAGGAGCACAAGAAGAAGCACCCGGAUGCUUCUGUCAACUUCUCAGAGUUCUCCAAGAAGUGCUCAGAGAGGUGGAAGACCAUGUCUGCUAAAGAAAAGGGGAAAUUUGAAGAUAUGGCAAAGGCUGACAAGGCUCGUUAUGAAAGAGAAAUGAAAACCUACAUCCCCCCCCCCCCAAAGGGGAGACCAAAAAGAAGUUCAAGGACCCCAAUGCACCCAAGAGGCCUCCUUCCGCCUUCUUCUUGUUCUGUUCUGAGUACCGCCCCAAAAUCAAAGGCGAGCAUCCUGGCUUAUCCAUUGGUGAUGUUGCAAAGAAACUAGGAGAGAUGUGGAACAACACUGCAGCAGAUGACAAGCAGCCCUAUGAGAAGAAAGCUGCCAAGCUGAAGGAGAAGUAUGAGAAGGAUAUUGCUGCCUACAGAGCUAAAGGAAAACCUGAUGCAGCGAAAAAGGGGGUGGGUGGUCAAGGCUGA